rnacentral:rRNA from 1 species
UACGUAGGGUGCAAGCGUUAUCCGGAUUCACUGGGUUUAAAGGGUGCGUAGGAGGGCAGGUAAGUCAGUGGUGAAAUCUCCAAGCUUAACUUGGAAACUGCCGUUGAUACUAUCUGUCUUGAAUAUUGUGGAGGUGAGCGGAAUAUGUCAUGUAGCGGUGAAAUGCUUAGAUAUGACAUAGAACACCAAUUGCGAAGGCGGCUCGCUACACAUAUAUUGACUCUGAGGCACGAAAGCGUGGGGAUCAAACAGG